UCUGCACUCUCAGAUGCGGAGAAGCCCUCCCCUCAUGAGGAAUUGACAGCCUGACUUUUCCAUUUCAGCUGCUGGAGGAUGAACAUGUCUACCUCCUGGGGGUCAUCCAGAGCUGCCAGGCAGCUGAGCUCAGGGGGCUCCGAUCCCUGAAGUGCUCCAAGCAGGAGACAGCCCAAGCCAUUCUGGACAUCCUGGGGCCCCUGGAGCACUUCAGGGAUCGCCCCCUGACCCUGGCCCUUGCCUUGGAGGCCCUCCUCCAGCUAAGCACGAUGAGGCCCAAAUUCAGCUGUGAUAUGAUCAGUGCCAUCCUGCACAGAACGUUGGAGGCCGUGCUGAAAGGGGCCACUGAGGAAGAGGAGAAGAGAGAAGAACUGAAGAGGCACUUCCAGCUCCUGUUGGGCAUUCUCCUUAUGGAAUCCCCCAACCCUGGCACCCUCCUGCACCAUCUCAGUG